rnacentral:tRNA from 1 species
GCAGCCGUGGUCUAGUCUGGCCUAGGACACCGGCCUUCCAAGCCUGUUACCCGGGUUCAAAUCCCGGCGGCUGCA